rnacentral:rRNA from 1 species
AUGCCACCAUAUGACCUUGCAGUUAUGAUGGAGUCCAAGGCCAUGGUCAUGACCAUCUGCUGCUCGUCUGUCAACGAGGGGAUAACAAAGACAGGCCAUGCGAACCCCUGUUUGUGGGUAGCGUCAGUGAAAGAGUCGCGCUUUGUUGAUGUGCCGACGAAGGCCAUCAACGCUAAGGAUGUCUGCUUCGAUCCCUCCAAGGGGUUGCCCAUCCUCUGUCACGUUAGGUGUUCAAGCAGUGUUCAAGCAGUCGGCGGGUGUGAGAUGACGACCAUCCUCAUUGCUGUCUCGACGUGCAAGAUGGUGUGA